rnacentral:ribozyme from 1 species
UGUCCAGCAACUCCUAUCUCUACCUUCUCAUGGUACUGGCCAGGGUACGAGCAACCUCAGGGAAGAUCGGGUAACCAACCCCGGUGGGAACUAUGGUCGUAUGCUGAUAGGAAAGG